rnacentral:rRNA from 1 species
UACAUGGGGGUGCAAACGUUGCUCGGAAUCAUUGGGCGUAAAGCGCGCGUAGGCGGUUGCUUAAGUCGGAUGUGAAAGCCCUCGGCUUAAACUGAGGAAGUGCAUCCGAAACUGAGCAGCUAGAGUACGAAAGAGGGUCGCGGAAUUCCCGGUGUAGAGGUGAAAUUCGUAGAUAUCGGGAGGAACACCGGUGGCGAAGGCGGCGACCUGGGUCGAGACUGACGCUGAGGCGCGAAAGCGUGGGGAGCAAACAGG